rnacentral:rRNA from 1 species
AUAUCAAUAAGCGGAGGAAAAGAAACCAACAGGGAUUGCCCUAGUAACGGCGAGUGAAGCGGCAACAGCUCAAAUUUGAAAUCUGGCCCUAGGCCCGAGUUGUAAUUUGCAGAGGAUGCUUUUGGCAAAGCGCUUACCGAGUCCCCUGGAACGGGGCGCCACAGAGGGUGAGAGCCCCGUAUGGUAUGACGCCGAGCCUCUGUAAAGCUCCUUCGACGAGUCGAGUAGUUUGGGAAUGCUGCUCUAAAUGGGAGGUAAAUUUCUUCUAAAGCUAAAUACCGGCCAGAGACCGAUAGCGCACAAGUAGAGUGAUCGAAAGAUGAAAAGCACUUUGAAAAGAGGGUUAAAUAGCACGUGAAAUUGUUGAAAGGGAAGCGCUCGUGACCAGACUUGCGCCGGGCGGAUCAUCCAGCGUUCUCGCUGGUGCACUCCGCCCGGCUCAGGCCAGCAUCGGUUUUCGCCGGGGGACAAAAGCUCCGGGAACGUGGCUCCCUUCGGGGAGUGUUAUAGCCCGUUGCUUAAUACCCCGGCGGGGACCGAGGACCGCGCUUCGGCAAGGAUGCUGGCGUAAUGGUCAUCAGCGACCCGUCUUGAAACACGGACCGAGGAGUCAAGCAUUAGUGCGAGUGUUUGGGUGUAAAACCCGCACGCGUAAUGAAAGUGAACGUAGGUGAGAGCUUCGGCGCAUCAUCGACCGAUCCUGAUGUUUUCGGAUGGAUUUGAGUAGGAGCAUUAACGCUUGGACCCGAAAGAUGGUGAACUAUACUUGAAUAGGGUGAAGCCAGAGGAAACUCUGGUGGAGGCUCGCAGCGGUUCUGACGUGCAAAUCGAUCGUCAAAUUUGAG